AUGUACUCCGUACACUCCGGUUCCUCCGCGCCGUCCGCACCCACCUGACAGCUGCUCGCUACGUUUUGUUAGCC
rnacentral:sRNA from 1 species